rnacentral:rRNA from 1 species
AUACGGAGGGGGUUAGCGUUGUUCGGAAUUACUGGGCGUAAAGCGCACGUAGGCGGAUUAGUAAGUUAGAGGUGAAAUCCCAGGGCUCAACCCUGGAACUGCCUUUAAUACUGCUAGUCUUGAGUUCGAGAGAGGUAAGUGGAAUUCCGAGUGUAGAGGUGAAAUUCGUAGAUAUUCGGAGGAACACCAGUGGCGAAGGCGGCUUACUGGCUCGAUACUGACGCUGAGGUGCGAAAGUGUGGGGAGCAAACAGGAUUAGAUACCCUGGUAGUCCACACCGUAAACGAUGAGAGCUAGUUGUUGGCAGGCAUGCCUGUCGGUGACGCAGCUAACGCAUUAAGCUCUCCGCCUGGGGAGUACGGUCGCAAGAUUAAAACUCAAAGAAAUUGACGGGGGGCCCGCACAAGCGGUGGAGCAUGUGGUUUAAUUCGAAGCAACGCGCAGAACCUUACCUACCCUUGACAUACCGAUCGCGGUUUCCAGAGAUGGAUUCCUUCAGUUAGGCUGGAUCGGAUAC